rnacentral:rRNA from 1 species
AGAGUUUGAUCCUGGCUCAGAUUGAACGCUGGCGGAAUGCUUUACACAUGCAAGUCGAACGGCAGCACGGGGCAACCCUGGUGGCGAGUGGCGAACGGGUGAGUAAUACAUCGGAACGUGCCCAGUCGUGGGGGAUAACGUAGCGAAAGCUACGCUAAUACCGCAUACGAUCUAUGGAUGAAAGCGGGGGACCGUAAGGCCUCGCGCGAUUGGAGCGGCCGAUGGCAGAUUAGGUAGUUGGUGGGGUAAAGGCUCACCAAGCCUGCGAUCUGUAGCUGGUCUGAGAGGACGACCAGCCACACUGGGACUGAGACACGGCCCAGACUCCUACGGGAGGCAGCAGUGGGGAAUUUUGGACAAUGGGCGCAAGCCUGAUCCAGCCAUUCCGCGUGCAGGAUGAAGGCCCUCGGGUUGUAAACUGCUUUUGUACGGAACGAAAAGCCUCUUUCUAAUAAAGAGAGGUCAUGACGGUACCGUAAGAAUAAGCACCGGCUAACUACGUG